CGGAGCGUGAAACUAAAUAGGCAGUCCUCUUUAGGGAUGUAGAUAUCUCUGUCUCAGAAAAUGUUUAUUGAUUCCUUAGCUUCAGACCAACAUUAAUCAUGCAAAAAGGCAAAGACAGGAGACUCAGAAUCCCAGUGGCAGGAGACAGGGGAGUAGGUUUUCUUUUUACAGUAAGACUUAUGUCAACACAUUGCUGGAGAUUAAUCAAUAGUCAAAUAAUUUAAGUGACAGAUUGAUCAUUCUGGUGGAGACUAAAGUCUGUAAGAUGCCACACAAUUAAAACAACAGUAACACAUAGAUAUUUUAUUUGGCAUUACUCAAGCUUCUGCAGAUUCCAUCACAUUUAAUCCAUCUUUUUCCACUACUCUCUGGAGAUAGGAAGAUAAAAGUAAUGAUAAAAUGAAAUUGAGCUGUUCCACUGGAAAUAUAAACUUGAAGUGUGUGUACUAUUUCUUCAUCUACAAUUUUAUAAUAAUAGAAAAUUAGAUUAUGCAUUCUAUGUCAGUUGAAAAUAGACUGAUGUAUUUGCAAGGCCUUUUAUAGAGAGAAUAUUUUCUUUAACAUUGUUUGAAUUAUAACUUGAUUUUCUUUUAGCUGUUUUUUUAUUUGAAAAUUUUUUCUUACCAAGUUUGAGUCUUGAGAUUUUUCUUUUGUAAAUGGGCUAUUUUUUUCUAAUUGCGUGUUAGUACAGUAUUUCUUUUCGCUUUUCUUAGUUCUUUGCAUGUUGAAUACUGCCAUGAAAAGUCACGAACUUCACAAAGUUUUACUGAAAGAGCCCGGGGAUCCAUCGGUUAGGGUGCAAAUUCCUAAGUCCACUUUUCACUAGCAACAUGACUGGAGCAGCUUUCCUAGUCUCUGAAAAUCCCAGCAAGUGUGAAAAAGAUUCAAAGCAGAGUGUGAGGCUGAGUGUGAGGAGAAAAUGGGUUGUGUGGUUAGCAUGUAGUUGGUGCUCAUACAGUUACUUAAUGUCAUGUUCAUUAUUGUUUUUACUAUUGUUUCUAUGCAAAAUUUGAAAAUUUCCAUCUGGAAACCUUCAUCACAGAAAAGGGAAAAAAAUCCCUAUCAUAAGUGAUAUUUAAAAUGAUGAAAAUAAGGCAUUGGAAAAUUCUCAAUUACCUUUCAUUAUCCAAGGAAAAUUAUAUUUUGGAUAGUGUGGCUUGAACAAUAUCUAUAUUAUAGUGUAUUCUGAUUCUUCCAAAUUGUUCAUUUAUAUACACCACAUAUAUUGACCUUUGGUCUACUGGAAUAGUCAAAUAAUCAAAUACCUAACUGUGCUGGAUAAUUUUAAAUUUCCUAUAUUCUUUAUGUCAUGGAGCAAACCAACAGAUAUAUAGUGAGGAGAAAUUAUGAUUAAAGUAAAUUCUGAGUAGUGAAUACAACUAUCAAUUAACAGUAAAUGAUGUUUAAGGUAACUGUAAUACAUGAUGGGGAAAAUGGGCUGAUACUUAAAUUUUCUUUGUAAUACUUUGGCUUUUGAAACAGAGCUGGCAUUUACAAAAUGCUACUUUCCCCCUUCCCUCUCUUCUUUCCUCCCCUCUCUUCUUUUUGUGGUAUUGGGGAUGGAACCCAAAACUUCUACAGUGAGCUACAUCCCUAGCUCCCUUUUGUUAUUUUUUAAAUUUUGAGACAGGAUCUCAAAGUCCCCAAGUUGUCAGAACUGGGCUGGAACUUGCUGUCCUUCUGCCUCAGGCUCUCAGAGUGCUGGGGAUACAGGUGCCUCAUUAGCCUGCUAAAGUUAUUUGAUUGGUAGUUUGUUGGGGAUCAGGGUCACAUCUCUUCAGGUUAGGUUGAGUCAUGUGCCUAAGUCAUGAGGAUGGACCUUCAUGGACGGGAUUAGUGUCCUUAGGUCGAAGGGAGUGACCCUGACCUUCUGCCUCUGCAGGAUGUCAUCUUUGAAGCAACAGCAAGCCCUCACCAGAUGCCAGAUUUGCUGGUGCCUUCCUCGUGGGCCUCCCCAGCCACUAAAACUACUGUCAUGGGAAGAGCAGAUGGUGUCUGCCUGGCCCUUCCACCAUGAUGCUUCCACCUUGGAACCAGUCAACCAUGGACAGAACCCACUGAAACCGUGAGCCAGAAUAAACAUCUCCUUUAGUUUUCAGCCAACAGGUGUGGAUGGAAAAGUUCAGAAUAACAGGAUCCGUCCGUUUGCCCUCCCGGGGAGGUGCCUUGCUGUUUUCUACAAUGGUGGUCCCUCAUGACCUUCUGGAUGAAGCCCUGCAGAUGGUGGUGUUUGGGCCUGGGAAACAGACAUGAAGAUUGAGCGUCUGAACUGUCCAACCACGUCUGUUCUCCCUCCAGUUUUGCUUGUGUGGAAACAGCUUCACCUCUGAGCUCCUCCUUGGCUAAUUCCAGCAAAGUCCCACUGGGAGCGUGGCAGGGAGAGACAAGCGAUGCAAACAGACUGGAGAGCUUUAGUGCUGCUGGUGAUUGUGCCAUUACCCAGAAAAUGCAGGUUAAUGUGGAGAAAGGGAGGAAACUGUGGAAGGCAACAAAGCAGACCCAACAAUACCUAUUAGAUGGAACGAACAUGCAACACACAGAGCAGGAAGCAAGGACAAGGGUGAAAACGCCAUAGAAACUCUACCAACCCCUAGUACAGGAAAACACACUAAAGACAGGGAUUAAACAAGUAGCAGUGGAGGGAGUCCUGAAUUAACUCCUGUGGAUGUGGCUCUUAGAGUCCAUCCUGGCUCAGAAUUAGCUGAUGAAGCUCUAAAUCCUUGCAGGAUGAGUAGCUCACACUGUUGCGGAGAAUGUGACAUGGGGGCAGAAUUCAUGAAAAUACAGGGGACAGAAUACAGUGUUCCUGGUGGGUUUUGUGUCAAGUGUGUGUAACUAUUAACCUGAGAUAUGGAGAUAAGUCUGUUAUAAAGCUGAAUGUUAAGUAAGAUCAUAUAGUAAAAGUAUGUGAUAAUUCAGAGAGGGGAGAAUCCAGAUUCAAGUGUCUAUAUGGCAUAUGUGUUGCAUCAGGAAUGUUGCAUAAAGAUAAAAGACUUAAGGUCAACCUUGUAAAACUGAAAAGACUUUUUGAAGCCAGUAUGAGCAUAGGAUAAAAAUAGGAAAAGAAAAUGGACAAGGACAAGGAAAUGAAAGGGUGCUUGGAGAAUAUCAACUGUCUAGUUUGACCAAAAAAUGGGGUACAAUAUAGGGUUGACUGUACUGCCCUCACCAUCUUGCUUUGACUGAUUUUCCUCUGUUCUGCUUUGCUUGAUAGUACCAAGUUCGAAAGUAUAGGCAACAACUGCAAAGACAAUAAGAGUCAUUAUGACGCCCAUUCCAGUUGACUAUUAUCUUCUUUUAAAGUCCUGUAAUGUCUCCAAUGUUUUGGUUUUAUUCCUUACUGUUUUGUUCAAUUUUAUUAUAACUGAUGAUAUAAGCAAUUCUUUUUAAGAUCGCAAGAGGCAGUAUGGUAACCAUUGUUGAUCACCUAGUAUUUUGUUUUUACAUUAUCUAUUAUGUCCAUCCUUUUGAUUUGACUGACUCUGUUCUGUUAUGUCACAUUUGGUUUUACUCUCUUCAAAAAAAAGUAAUAAGAACUGUGGGAGUAAUAAAACCCAAAAUGUGUAAUUGUCAUUGUACAAAAGAAAGGAAAAGAAAGUGCUCUAAAGAAUAUAACUGCAUAUAUAUUUAAGUGUAUAAGAUAAAUAACCUUAUUACUGAGUUUUGUUGGAUCAUUGAACAAAACUGUUUCCAGUCUCACUGUUUGAAUGUCCACUUUAUAUGCUUUAAUUCUGUAACUUGAACAACUAUUUCUAUGAUAACAAUAUGUAAUCUAUUAACUAGUGAUUUCCUAUUGUUUAUUUUUUCUGAAAUUCUGUAUAACUUGUACCCUUUUUCUGUUUUUCUUUCUUUUUCUCCUUAAAAAAAAUAUGGGGUCGAAAGAAAUGAGGCUGUAACGGUAGGUUAAAGGCGAUCCAUGAAGACCCUAGAUGUCAGUGACGUUGUUUUCCCGUUUGUCCUCACUUUCUCAAAGGGAUUCCAUGGUUAUCUCCAUCUGGGGUCUCAGGCCAGAGCCCAUCUGGUGUGAAUAUGUGUAAGGCUUCCUCAUCCAUUUGGAUUUGAUGUGCACUGUGUUCACCACGGUCAGAAUCCGGAAGGCCACGCCCACAGGGCUGCAGCAUUUCCAGCUCUCCAUCUCUGUGUCUCCUCUGUCUGCACGUGGUCCAGAGACGCUGCUUGCCCCCUACCGCCUGGCCAGCUCCUGGGUCUCAUCAUCACUCCUGGCUUCCUCCAGCUUCUCCUUGCUUCCUUCUCCUGAUUCUGCCCAGAAAUGAAUCUUAACCCACCCAAGCUAAGUCUUAGGGUCCUGAAAUGUUUUUAACAGGGUUCUUACUCCUCCCUGUCAUUGAGGUCUUAACAUUUGUGGACCAUGCACUCUCCACAUCAGUAUAACUUUUUGGCUGGAUUUGUGCCUGACUUUUGCUUAUUUUUGUUUCUCAUUCACAGAUUCUUCUCCCAUUAAGAAACCAUCUCUCCAGUUAUUCUGAUGGCUUGUAUUUCUAGAUAGUGGAGAUAAGCACACUGGGGUCCAAAAAAGAUUUCUCCACUGUACAUAACUGCAUAAUGUUGGCCCACUUGUUUGAAACACAGUUCCAGAAGGAUCAUAUGAUCUUUCCUAUGUGUUCCUAUUCCCUUCCAUUCCUUACACACCUUUCCCAGAUGGAGUCCACAGACCUAUGACGUUUUGGUAAUAUGCCAACUCCCAGGCCAAGGACUGAGGGAUGUGGAAGGGUCGGAACCUUGAUUACAGUUUAAAGAAAGCUGACCUUCAGUGAGGAAUCUAGGAUAUGGCUGAGGGUCUGCCUGAAGAGCUCUGUGACUUGGCACAGCUGCCUGGGCCUCCUGACUUUCAUCUGUGAGGGUCAGUGAUGGAGCAGGCGGGCAUUUAGUGGUGGAGAAUCCACGCAACUGGCAAAUUGCCUGCAAAAACGAUUGCACUCUUGCUAUUGAGCAUUUCCCCCUCAGUAUGCAUUAAAAUCUCCUCCACUGGAGUUUUUCCAACUGGUAGUAAGAGAUCAGUAAUAAAAGAUCAUUUUUUUUUAAAAAAAAAUAGGCAAAAAAAAAGAAGCAGAAAAUUGUAGGGCUUCUUUAAAUUCUGUCACCAUUGAGUUCUUCAGCUCACACUAGGAAAAAGUAAGGGGAGGAACGUGGAGGGUAUGAAAAUUAAAAAGGAUAAAAAUUUAUGAGUUUGGUUUCUAGGCUACUCCCUUUCAUACACAUUCACACACACACACACACAUCCAAAAGAUCAAUACUGAUAGGUGAGAAAGUCACCUAAUGGACACAGAACCAAAAGAAACGAGUGGAUUCUGACCUCAGUAACUCCAAAUCUUAGUCCUUUAGUAUUUAAUAUUUUUCAGAGUUUGUGCUGUUAAAUCAAAAGGUUAUCUAUAAUACAUCUGGUGCUAUUAAUGGGAAAGAUCAGGGAUAUUCAAAAGACAUUUAUACAUUAUUAAUAUAGAUAAUAAAGGAUCAUUUAUGAGGCUUCAGAUGAGAUUUUUAUCAUCAAAAGCUUAAAAAGAGAAAUUUAUUUUUGCUUCAGGACAGACUCGAGAGGUGUCUAUAAUGGGAAAUGUGAGCAUCAACACUAAACUGACAGAUUCACUCUGUUUCUGAAGAUGGCUACUUUAUAGCAACAGAUUAAAAAGAAAAUAAAAUUUUGUGCUUUAAAUUUCUAUUGACAGCAUCUUCAUGAUUUAUUCUUGGUUUGUCCUUUAUCGAGAUGUCUUAUUGAUGUUCUUUGCUUCUGUCUUUUCCAUUUGAGAUGUUUGAUGGCUUAGGCAAAUUGAACAGAGAGGAAUUCAGCCAACUACAAAAUAUUUGGGACUCUUGAAAAAUAAAUGAGUUUGCCUCCAGAAUCUUUACAUCCUUGCAAGAAUCCUAAAUCUAACUUUUAUGGAACACAAGCAGUAAUAAGAAAGGAAAGGUUAAAAAUAUACUAUUUUGGAGGAAGGCCAUAGUAGCUCAGGAGACUUAGAAGGACUCUCAGCCCCUGAACGUGGUAUUAUUAAUCACUUUAGCUUAUGCCAUUGGAUCUAAUCAAAACAGACUUAAAAUGGUUUUUUUUUCUGAGGAAGUCAAAGAGAUUUUCAAAAUUCCUUUGCAAUUUACUUUUCAAAUUACUCUCUGUAAAUUAACCGUGAUUAAUUCUCCAGCCAAUAUAAUGGAUGGAAACUUAUUGGAUGUUGAUUUGGAAUCCACAUAAGUGAGAAACAGGAAACUAAAGAUGUUUCCCACACAUGGUGUCGGCGACAGGCCAGGUCUUCAGAAAUGUUUGCUGAACGAUAAACAUCUUCUGUUACAUCUGGAUCCCACAGGUGAAAUUACCUUGCAUUGGAGGGUAGUGGACAUAUGCUAAUGUUUUUAUUCUUCCCUGACAUGCAAUAUUUAAAAAAGUAUCUCUAGGCUUUCAGAUGAAUUUUCUCCAUUAAAAAAAAGAGAGACGAUCUGAGAUCAAAUGAGAAUUAUCCUGGGACCAAUAUUCAUUAAUAAUUUCAGUGCUAGAGAGAAAGUUAAACCUAAUACAAUCACACUGUUUCAUGCCUGCUUCAGGAAGGUAAAAAGACACUGGAGGUCAUCAACUCUAAUAGCCCACUCAGGGUACACUCAGAUGGAACAAAACUCAUGGCAUAGUGCUAAUCCUAUCUUAGAGCACUCGUGCAUCAGAAAGAAACAUAAAUCCAGCUGUCAAAGCUGAGGAGAAAUGGGAAUCACUCCAAUGUGCAGUUAGAAUGUGGACCAAAGCAGGGGGGCGUUGGGUGUAAGAUUGCCCGCCUACACCCCACCAUCCUUCCAAUGUUCUCGUAUGUCACAGAUAGCCUGAAAAGGUAAGAGCACAUUUCUCAGGCAUCCUUGCACUUGUGUUUCUUCCAAUUGCAAUUUAGGUUUUGACUAUCAGGUGUACUCAGACAAAACUUGGAAGAUGCAACACUGCUCAUGUGUUAUUCACUCCUGGCAAACACAGUCAUGGUGCCAGUGUGGUUUCUCUGCAGUCACCAGAGGUCUCACCUUCACUCACCAUGCUGAUUCAGGGCCAGGGAGCUGGGGUUCUUUGGAGAGUGCAAGUUAGAGCAGGCAAAGUGAGGGAGAGCAAUGGGGGAAGCAGAAAUGGAGUUUUCCUUCCUGUGCUGGUAAUGGUGAGGUUUGGAAUUAGCUACUUAACUCUAGGGGUGAAGGGAACCCACUGCUUUGUUGUCUAAUAAUUAUUAAUCUCCUUGUAUGGUCCUGUUUAUUUUGGUUAAUGUAUCAGUCUACUCUUUUAUGUGAUUCCUCUUUACACAGUGGAUAUGAACUAUCCUCUAAGUCACAGGUAGAGGAAACCUCAAGGGUGUCUUGAAAAGAUGUUAUUUUUGAUAGUUUUACCAUAUACAAAAAGGUCAAGAGUCAUACCAGAAAUUUCUACUAUGCAGAGUGCUAAUGAGGGGUGACAUAUAAUAUAUGGCAUAUAUAGGAUAAUCUACCUUAUUAAAAUAUAAAACAAUUUUUUCUUGGGCAAAAGUGUAGCUUAUCUUUCCUUUUCAUAAUAGCAGCAAUACAUUCCUGCUAAAUAAGUGGAUGUUAAUUUUUUUAAAAUGUAGUCUUAGAAACAGUAUAUAGGUAGUUUGUAAGUUUUUUUAUUAAUGGUAUUUUCAGUGUGGAAAUUCACUGAUAGUAUUGAAUAGUAAGGCUCCUAAAGUCAUAAGCCAAAGAAAUAUGAAUAUGAAUAUAUCCUAUCUUCAGAGGCUAUAUGAAUAUAGCCUCUUCCCAUUGGGACAUUUUCCUCCUACUUCCCAACAUCUAGCUUCUAUUUUGGUCCAUAUUUACCCUUUUAGUUACUCACAUUAGAGAAGCAAUGCAGUACUUAAACAUAUGUGGCUGAUUAUUUACCUUGAAAGAAUUGUUUCAAGGUGCAUCCAUUAUAUGAGAGGCCAAUAUAUAAAUAAAGUGCAAAACAAAAGACAGACAAUAGAAAAAAGAGAGAGAGAAAGAAAUGUUCUUGUAAUUCAGCACGGAUGGUGUGCCUAAAAGUGUACUUUGAUUCAGUAUAAUUGUCUGAUGUGUAUUUUGGGUUUUAUUGCCUGUUAGUCUGACUGUUAAUCUGUAUUUAUAAUAAUUUAUUUGAUAAGGACUUAUAAAAUAAUUACAUGAAUCUGAUGUUGGCAAACAAAGAUUUUUUAAAAGGAGCAGGUAGGAGUAGUAAAGGAAUUAAAAUGGGUUGUGUACCUUUACCAAUGGCCCACAAUGAAUGUAAUCUUUGUGUACUACAAUUAUGUACUAAUAAAAUUUUAAAAAUUAAACAAAGAUUUAUUUUUGCUACAUGAUCUUUCUGAAGGCUUAGCUUCUUUUAAAAUCUAAUCUUUGGGGCUUGACUUUCCUGCUGCUGCUGCUGCUGCAUCUGAAUCAGCACAGCAGGGAUAGAGACACGAAAGCUCUGAGAGCGGGAAUCGGCAAGCCGAAUUGAGAGCAGAGUUGGUGGGGAGCCCUGCAUCAACCUGUGGUGAGUGAGAGGAAUGGGGACCCUUCCAUAGACUAGGAGGCUCCAACAGAGGACAUUCUGGGACUGGGCAGACUAGCUAGAACAGGACAC